rnacentral:rRNA from 1 species
GCCCAUGAACAAGAGUGCACCCCUUUUCCAAUUAGUUAAAGGUUUUAGAAUAUUUAGGGUUAAGUGUUUUUAUGUUUGAAUAGUACUGUGUUGGGUGACCUCUUGGGAAUUCCAAAUUCAUGAGCU